rnacentral:misc_RNA from 1 species
GAUGAAGAACGUAGCGAAAUGCGAUAAGUAAUGUGAAUUGCAGAAUUCAGUGAAUCAUCGAGUCUUUGAACGCACAUUGCGCCCCUUGGUAUUCCGGGGGGCAUGCCUGUUCGAGCGUCAUUACAACCCUCAAGCUCUGCUUGGUCUUGGGCGUCACCGGUCCCCGGUGUGCCUUAAAAUCAGUGGCGGCGCCAUCUGGCUCUAAGCGUAGUACAUACUCUCGCUACAGACGUCCGGUGGAUGCUGGCCAGCAACCCCCAAUUUAUCAAGGUUGACCUCGGAUCAGGUAGGGAUACCCGCUGAACUUAAGCAUAUCAAUAAGCGGAGGA